UACGUAGGGUGCGAGCGUUGUCCGGAAUUACUGGGCGUAAAGGGCUCGUAGGCGGCCAACUAAGUCGGACGUGAAAUCCCCUCGGCUUAACCGGGGGAACUGCGUCUGAUACUGGAUGGCUUGAAUCCGGGAGAGGGAUGCGGAAUUCCAGGUGUAGCGGUGAAAUGCGUAGAUAUCUGGAGGAACACCGGUGGCGAAGGCGGCAUCCUGGACCGGCAUUGACGCUGAGGAGCGAAAGCCAGGGGGAGCAAAACGGG
rnacentral:rRNA from 1 species